UACGUAGGGUGCAAGCGUUAAUCGGAAUUACUGGGCGUAAAGCGUGCGCAGGCGGUUAUGUAAGACAGUUGUGAAAUCCCCGGGCUCAACCUGGGAAUUGCGAUGGAGACUGCAAGGCUAGAAUCUGGCAGAGGGGGGGGUAGAAUUCCACGUGUAGCAGUGAAAUGCGUAGAGAUGUGGAGGAACACCGAUGGCGAAGGCAGCCCCCUGGGUCAAGAUUGACGCUCAUGCACGAAAGCGUGGGGAGCAAACGAGGA
rnacentral:rRNA from 1 species